rnacentral:rRNA from 3 species
AGACCCGAAACCCGGUGAUCUAGCCAUGGGCAGGUUGAAGGUUGGGUAACACUAACUGGAGGACCGAACCGACUAAUGUUGAAAAAUUAGCGGAUGACCUGUGGCUGGGGGUGAAAGGCCAAUCAAACCGGGAGAUAGCUGGUUCUCCCCGAAAGCUAUUUAGGUAGCGCCUCGUGAAUUCAUCUCCGGGGGUAGAGCACUGUUUCGGCUAGGGGGCCAUCCCGGCUUACCAACCCGAUGCAAACUGCGAAUACCGGAGAAUGUUAUCACGGGAGACACACGGCGGGUGCUAACGUCCGUCGUGAAGAGGGAAACAACCCAGACCGCCAGCUAAGGUCCCAAAGUCAUGGUUAAGUGGGAAACGAUGUGGGAAGGCCCAGACAGCCAGGAUGUUGGCUUAGAAGCAGCCAUCAUUUAAAGAAAGCGUAAUAGCUCACUGGUCGAGUCGGCCUGCGCGGAAGAUGUAACGGGGCUAAACCAUGCACCGAAGCUGCGGCAGCGAACGUAUCACCCAAGACAACUUUACGGAGUUGACGAUUGACGGAGCGAAGCGACGUCAAAGCGUUCAUUAAAGUCGAGUUGGCUUAGGGAUACGUUCGUUGGGUAGGGGAGCGUUCUGUAAGCCUGUGAAGGUGUGUCGUGAGGCAUGCUGGAGGUAUCAGAAGUGCGAAUGCUGACAUAAGUAACGAUAAAGCGGGUGAAAAGCCCGCUCGCCGGAAGACCAAGGGUUCCUGUCCAACGUUAAUCGGGGCAGGGUGAGUCGACCCCUAAGGCGAGGCCGAAAGGCGUAGUCGAUGGGAAACGGGUUAAUAUUCCCGUACUUGGUGUUACUGCGAAGGGGGGACGGAGAAGGCUAUGUUGGCCGGGCGACGGUUGUCCCGGUUUAAGCGUGUAGGUGUGUGUUCCAGGUAAAUCCGGUUCACUUUAACACUGAGGCGUGACGACGAGGCACUAC